rnacentral:lncRNA from 1 species
UUCUUCAGGGGGCAGUUGCCGGUGUUCUCGUGCUCACUGUGGUCUUGAAGGAAUGCUUUUUCUUUCAGUGUAACUUGUUUAAACCUGUCAAUAAUUAACUUGCUCAUGAAGCAACAACCGUUUAAUGUAGCUUGUAAUUACACACUCUUUUUUUGUUUUUGCUACUUUUGUGCUGCAAAUUCUUAAGCUUCAUAAAAACAUAAGCCUUCUGUAUGCUUCUUAUUUAAGAAAACAGCCAUGAUAUUUCAUCCUGCUGGGUAUAAUAUGGUGAAGGUUGCUUUAAAUAUGAUAACUGCCGCUAUGUAACUUGCUGAAGACAUGGACAAGAAUAUCUAUGAUGUAACCUGUAUUUGGCCCCAUUAGGUGGUUUUAACUACAGCCUUUCUCUAAGACCUGUUUUUUCUAAAAGUGAACAUAAAAAUGACACUUUUAAAAGUACUUAGGAUAUUUUACUAUUUUAUUUAAAAAUAAAUGGUUAAUUAAUGCCUUAAGUAUGUUCAAGUUUAUGCUUUUAGACAAUGUACUGAUUUAAAGUUUUAAAAUCUUAAAAUCUUAGCUUAAAACAUAAGAUUCCUAUGCCCUAAAAAUGAGAUGGUAAAGACUGUUUAUUAACAUGCCUUCUCACUGUUUAGAGAGUCAGUUUCUCGCAUAAACUGUAAUUUAGUCCUUUGAAGACUUUGAGACCUUCUCUUGUGUUCUUUAAUGGUCUAAUUAUGACCAUGUGGGAAACACCUAGUCAAACAAAUGAAGUCAGGAAAUUCCGGGUUCCUUUUUAGUCAGUUCCAAAGACCUAUUGUGCUUACAUUUCUUCCACGGAGAUGCCAGAAACAUCUUUCCACUAAGUUGUAUGAAGUGACACUGCCCCUCAUGGCUUCUUAUGAAUUUGGAAACAAUAUAUUUGUGUAUCAAAAGCAAAAUAGUAAAUUAUAUAAAAGAAUACUAUUUUUACCUGGUUUAUAAUUUUGGCCUAAGUGCUGAUUUCUUGGAUUGGCUGAAAUACUGAAUUCAAGUACAACAUUAAAAUAACAUAAUAGGAACAUAAAAUGUUGAUCCUCUAAAGAGCCAUCAUAGAAAAUGAUAAUUUGUAGAGUUUACCUGGAUGUAGAAUAUUGGCUGUGGGGUAGCCCAGAGGUUCACACUGCCCCAGGCUUGCCCCAUCUCUCUCAGUGGAAUCUUAAGUGAUCCAGACCCAUCCCCUGCACAGGCCAGGACUCUGGGGAGCUUUGUCAGGAGUGUCAGGCUCACCUCCAGUGGUCUCUUGUGCCUGAAAAUCUGCUGAGUCGCACACCGCUUUGCGAGGCUAAGGAGAGUUGUGCACUCUACCCUGGUGAAAUUCACACACCUGCAAAUGUCGCGUGCGGUCUUUGGGGGUUUAUGGGCUUCCUGCAUCCCAUCUGUGGGACCACCUUCGUUCCCUUCAUUUUAUGGAGAGGGAAGAGAUAGAUGUGGUCUGUUGGGUUUGUAUUUUAUACAAAGCAUAAACGAAACCCAGAGCUGGAACUACAGCCUUGCUCAUAGAUAUCAAGCUCAGUUACCUUGCUCACAGCACCAAACCUGCUGGGGGUAACUUACCAUGGACUUCCAAGGUUGCUGAAUGUAGAAUUCAUAUACAAAGUGAAUUUUAGAACUGAUUAUUUCACAAUUAAGGUAAUUCCUACCCAAGAAGAGAGAUCUUUAGAAUGUUUUUAAAACCCAAGCCUGGAUUUACUUAUCUGACUAGAAGUAAAGCAGUUGAAAAACCCAGAGGAGAGCAGCGAGCGGGCAGAGUGUCAACAGAAGUAUGCCUGAUGACUGAAAUACUUCUGGGCUCUGAGGUCAUUUCAGCCACUUAUUGUUCUAAAAUCACCAGCCAGAGAACCCAGGCUAGGUUUUCUUACCUGAGAACAAUAGGGUUGGAUUCAUGAUGAUUUGGCCAGCAUAUCUUUCUUCCUCCUGCUCUUUUUUUUUUGGAUUGUGUUUUAAUGAUGUCUUUAUGCUGUUUAUCACGUUGUACUCCCACACGCACUCAGGGUUUGCUACUGGAAUGUUUGAAGCCUAGGCUCCGCCUGACCGAGCCUCCCUGUGCGUGUGGGGAGACUACCUACACUUCUAUAAGCCCUCUUCUGAAAAGGUGCAGUAAAAGAAUUAGAGAAGACAUUUGGGGAGCAGUCUUUUCCUUGUUGCCAUUUCUCAUCGGAUGUACAAAGCAACUUAUAGGAUACAAGAUCUAAAUCUUCUGCCAGUGUGUGCUACACGUUGGGUACCCUCUGAUACGCUGAAAUUGCAUUGAAGGGCACAAAGGCUGGACAUAGCAGUGUGGGCGCUGUACUGCAGAUGUUCUCAGGGGCCUCCAGACGGGGAAAAGUGCAUUUAAAAAUUUACCUCUGGUAUUUAAGUGUGGUUAAUUAAAUUCCAAAAUUGUACUUAAUGAAAUUUGUAAUUCCUGAUGUCUUUGGAAUCUGUAACUGCUUUUCAGAAGACCUCUGCCUCAACUUUUCUUUAAAGAAACUGGUUUGUUAAAUGAGGAAUGAGUAAUCCUGAAUAAUUAGUUUUGCAGAGAAUAAAUGGACUAAAAUGCAAUAAUAUCUUUUCAAAUACCAUAUUUAGGUACCUUUAAGCAAGUAAUCCUUAAAACUAUUUAGCCUUUCUGGAGUUAUCUAUAAUAUUGUGUUCUCAAUUUUAAUGGCUCUUUUGCUUUUCUUUUUUUUUUCUUUUGGUUGGAAAUCAGGAUGUGUAAUGUUAGCAUGUAAAUUAUAGUAUGGUAAAAUCUUGUUUUUGCCAUAUUAUCUGCAUAAUUGUAAAUGUGUUGCUAGUACCUAUCAUUACUCAUAACAAACAUACUAUGAAAAUCUACAUUAUUGGUGCAGCACUAUCCGAUAGAAAUAUAAUAUGAGCUACAUGGGGAAUUUUCAGUUUUCUGCUAGCUGUGUUUUUUUAAAAAGUGAAGUUAAUUUUAAUACCAUAUUUUAUAUUAUCUAAUACAUCAGAAAUGUUAUUUCAACAUGCAGUCAAUAUAAAAAUCAUCAAUGAGAUAGUUCACAUUCUUUUUUCCAUACUAAGUCUCUGCAUUUCCAUAUUUCAGUUUGGAUGAGCCACACUUUCAGUGCUCUGUCACCACCUGUGGCCUGCCUACUGCCAUACUGAACAGCACAGUGUUUAAUGCCGUUUCACUAGUAUUCUUGGAACUGUUUCUACAUUUCUGUGAUUGUUUUUGGUUGGUAGCUAACACUUGAAUGUUCUACAUGCUGACACACAGCAGCAAAGAACAUAGAGCUUCUAGGCCUGGCUGUUCUUUCUUAGUUGGAAAAGAAAUAGAAUUACCAUAAAAUGAAUUUUAAUUGUGUGCGCAUGUAAAUAUAAAGACACUAAUUAUUUUAAUAAAUUUUGAGUUCAGCCUUAAUAGACUACAUAGAUUGUCCAUUAUUGUUUAGAAAUAAGACCUAAAUUAAGUGGUUUAAUAUUUCUGAAAUUAAUAAAUUGUUUCAUACAGUUUUUUUUUUAACCGUAGGCAGUACAAUUCUCAUUUAUUCAAAUGAAGGGGGGUAGGUAGUGAGAGCUCCAUAAUGUUAAGGAAUUGUUAUGGCUCGACAGACGACAGUUUGCUGAGGCAUCUGACCAGCAGCAGAGGCAGGGAUGCAGCAGAGUUUCUUUACUCUGCUCUUCCCCCAGUCAGGGUGCACAUUCCAGUCCUGCACUGCCAUAGCCAGACUGAGAAACCUUGGACAAGUGGACACCUUGUAGUUGGACAGAGACUGUGGUGGUUCGGGUUGAAGGUAAUUGCCCAUAUUGAUGUGAUACAAAUAGACAUUUCCUAGAGUUCUUUCAUCUCUGGGUAAUCAUCUCUAAUUUUGUUUUGCUAAGAUAAUUACCAGUAGAACUGUAAUUUCUCCAUUCAGCAGUUGUAGUUAGAAUUUUUAUGAUCAGUUUAUGACUGUGAGCUGCACCUGAAGUAUAAGUAGGAUCCAAAUAACCAGAGGUGAUAGGAGGGAAGGGCAUGUGAACAGGGCCAGUGGGUCUGCAGGAAAGGAGUGUGUACAGAAGGUGCAGGGUCAGUGGACAGGGAAUGUGUCCACGGAAAUGUCCAUGAAGCAGAGCAGUCCGUGAAGUGGAGGCCCGAAUGCCGACCAAAAUGUGGAUACCUGUUACAUUAUCUAGAUCCGUAUUCUUUACUUGCACAUUGUUUUGUCUUCUGUGUCUAAGAGUAUUUUCAAAAUAUAUUUCGUGAUGCAUUGUCUUGACUUUUGAUCAAAUUCCAUUUUUAUGAUCAACCUUGAAUAGACCUUUUAGAUUUUAAUGGGUGUUUUGAAUUGAGGUCUCUAAUAAUCAUGAAUGCUUUUUAAAAUUUUUUUGUAGAGACAGGAUCUCGCCAUGUUGCCUAGGCUGGUUGUGAACUCUUGGCCUCAAGCAGUCCUCCCGCCACAGCCUCCCAAAGUGUUGGGAUGACUCCCACCAUGCCUGGCCCUAUCAUGAAUGCUUAUUUCCUUAAAUGAAAACCUCCUUUUGUGACAAACAGAUUUUAUAAAUUCAGUUUACUUGGAAUUAAAAGAAGUGGUUAUUACUUAGAAUUCAGAUAAAUUCUGAAUAUAUAAGAAAAUAGAAUGUGUCUUAUUUGUGCCUUUCCUGACAAUCAUGGAUUUGAGUUCCCUUCCUAAAAGGGCACAUUGGGUGCCAGAGCCUGAAGUGCUUUUGUAUCUAUCUUUCUAAACUAGUAAUUUUACAGUUUUAUUGCUAACCCAUAUAUAAUGGGCAUAUCGGUUGCUUCUUAACUUACUAUUUAUUCAGUAAAAUUACAGACCUCCUCAUCGUAGGUUUUUAAAAUAGGAAAUUGGCCAAAUUCCUUAUCGAUCAAUGUUGGUAAACUAUAAGUCAACCUAAUUGAGAAGCUCUUCUGGAAGGGAUAGAGCUCCUUAUAUUCAAGAAGCUUCUAAUGGAGUUGGAGGAAGGAGCCAUUUGCAGAGGUAGCUGUAAUGCAGGACACAGUGACUCACUGCUCAAAGAGAACAAAGAGAAUCCAAUGUGAUGAGAACAUAAGUGAAUGAUGAUACCUUCCCUGACACUGGGAAGGUGAGUGGGCUGGCAGGUGAGCCUCGGAGGUGAAUGGAGAGGAUUUGGGCAUAUAUCUUGCAUCAGAAAGACACUUGGUGUAGAGAGAACAUCAACCAAGUCAUGAACAUGAGUCAGAUAGAAUGGGAAGAGGUGAGGGGCGAUUUGGGUGGAGAAUGACGAGAGAGGUUCAUGGAGCUGUGAAUAACUUAUGCAGGAAGCUGCUGUGAAUUUUUACAGCAGCUGGCAGUUACAAGAGUCUGGUCAGCAUAGUGUGAGCUGAGCUGUGCUUCAGGAAAUGUGAUUGGAUUUAGAGAGACCAGAAGAUCAGUCAUGAGGAGAGCUUCCUCAUUUUGCCAGAAUUUGUCUGAAAUUUAUAAUGUAAACUUCAACCUAUUUAAAGAUAGGGAGUGCAGUCAAAAUAUCAGUAGUACAUGAUCAGUUUUGCUUCAGGAUUUAAAUUUAGGCAUUAAAUUUUCUAUUGCAUAUAGUAUGAUAAAUUACCUACCUUAAAAUGGUAGAGGAUUUCGGGUUCUUUAAAUGCCAUGUGCUGUUCAUGUGGAGUCCACAUGUUCAGCUUGCACGUUGGCUGUCUGCUUGUAUAGGGUGGCUAGGAAGGAAAAGAGCCUAGUGGUUGCCCUCAGGUAUGUGAUUACUGCUCUGAAUGAAGGAGUUGAAACAUGGAGUAACAGGUGCCACAAAACUGAAGUUUAUUGUGAAACUGGAACAAAGACAUCUUCCAAAAAUGAAAAUUGGGAGUGGCAGAAGAGCUGACUGGCAGGCAGCACCAACUGUGUGUGCAGGGGCUUGGGUUUUAGGGAGAAAUGAAACAGUCCUGUUUUCAUUUCUGAUAUCAUUCUAUUUUAUGAUUUUAAAAAGGGAGUUUUGUUAUUACAGUUUGUCUAAGUAACUGUCAUUUUUUUGGUCUGUAUUAAUUGUGAUCAUGUAAAACAUACCAGAAAUGGAGGAAGGAGGCUUGAUUUAUUGUUCUAAAAUAUAUAUUUGGUAUUUCCUUGUUUAUAAUAGUGUCACUAAAAAUGCUGUAUUACUAAUAUUAUUGCUAAACAUUUUUCUUGUCAGAGAUGAUAAUAAUUGGUUAUCUUAGUAAAGGGAUGAUUUUUAUUCUUUACAAGGUCAGUAUUACAUUAACCGGAAGAUAAUGCCAUGUGAAAAUGUCGUGAGGUGCCCAUUCUCACUGACAGUUGGCAUUCUGAUGUUCAGUAAUCAUUGCUUUUCUGUAGUCAGGUGGAAAGCAGAGGAAAAAAUAAGUAGUGCUUGUAGAACUUUUUAAAAACUGACCUAGGGUACCAGCUGGAAGGGAAUAGGCAUGCAGCAUUUUCAGGAAAAGAAGAAGAAGGACUAUCAGCGCUCCAACUAAAAUUAUUAGUGGAUGACCACAGAUAAACUCUGCUGAAGAAUAGAAGAAGCUCCCAAACGGCAAAGGUGUUUGUCUGGUUUGUUCAUUGAUGUGUACGUGGAGCUUAGGACAAUACAGGCGCUCGAUGGAUAUUUGUUCCGUGAAUGAAAUUGUCGUUUAAACAGCCAAGUUGUAGAAUUAAAGUUAUUCAUGAAUCACAUAAAAUUAUUAAAUGUGUGAAAAAAUUCA